rnacentral:rRNA from 1 species
AUACGAAGGGGGCUAGCGUUGUUCGGAAUUACUGGGCGUAAAGCGCACGUAGGCGGGUAUUUAAGUCAGGGGUGAAAUCCCAGAGCUCAACUCUGGAACUGCCUUUGGUACUGGGUACCUAGAGUAUGGAAGAGGUAAGUGGAAUUCCGAGUGUAGAGGUGAAAUUCGCAGAUAUUCGGAGGAACACCAGUGGCGAAGGCGGCUUACUGGUCCAUUACUGACGCUGAGGUGCGAAAGCGUGGGGAGC